rnacentral:rRNA from 1 species
CGCAUGACUCUCGGCAACGGAUAUCUUGGCUCUCGUAUCGAUGAAGAACGUAGCAAAAUGCGAUACUUGGUGUGAAUUGCAGAAUCCCGUGAAUCAUCGAGUUUUUGAACGCAAGUUGCGCCUGAGGCCGUCUGGUCAAGGGCACGCCUGCCUGGGCGUCACGCCUAGCGUCACUUCAUGC